UAUGAAAGGGUUAACGAGGAAGGUGCUGUGUCUAAAAACUUAGUUUAAACUAACUUAAAGGUGAAGAGGCCUUUAUAAGAAAGAAGGACGACAAGACCCUAUGAAGCUUUAUCUUAUUAGGGAUUUGAAAGAUCCUUAUACGAUUUUGAUGGGAGAUCAGUAAAAAUAAGUCUUUUACCAUUAUUUUUAUCUUACAAGUGUUUCCUAAUUUUAUAUGUGUGACUAGCUACUCUAGGGAUAACAGCGCAAUUUCUCCCGAAAGAUGGUAUUGGAGGGGAAGAUUGCGACCCCGAUGUUGGC
rnacentral:rRNA from 1 species